UUCAACCUCCAUUGCGAGUCCUCCGAUGUCAGCCCAUCCCUCACCUCUCACCGCCGCUGUGGCCGCGGCCGAGGUUUCCUGACGCGCCUACAACGACUGCACGUCACCCAGGGCAUCACAAGCCGUCGCCCUCUCCACUACAUCAGCUGACUAAUCUUGGCCGCAGAAUUCGUUCACCCCCGGGUUCGUCUGCAUACUUACAACCCACUCAAGGUUCAAGGACACCCUCACCAGCAUCCCCUCGCACCAGCCGCAGUAUUACAGGCUCAAAAUCAUGAUGUUGCGUUUUCUGACCAUCUUGUUGUCCCUCGGCUCCCUGCUUGCAACAAC